ensembl:lncRNA
AUCUUUUAAUGCAAGUUAAUGAUGGGAAAAUGAAAUAAAUAGGUACUUCGAGCUGAACUGUAUGAAUUUAGAAUGCUUUGGUGGGAGUUUGAAGGCUGAGGGAAGUAUAAGAAAUGCUGUCUGGUUGUCUUAGGGGAAGACUUCUGGAGGAUUGGAUGUACCAGACUAGAGACUUCUUGCGAAGAAAAGCGAAAUUAGGAUGCCCCUAUGUAACUGCAGACCCAGAAGAGAUCUCAGAAGGCUGCUCUGUCCAUCUGUCUCCAUCAGGGUUUAAUCUCCUGUUUCCCACAAGAUGGUGAUUGAGUCAGUGGGGGUAGUCCAGAUUCGAGACAAACUGGCUGACUUCUACAUAACGAAUGAAUGAGUUAAGUAGGAGUUUUCUAUGUUGAUAUUUUUCUAUCAGUAUCUGAAUGUAUUUUGGGUACAUGAAUAUCAAGAUCUCAUUCUCUCUAGUGAUCUGCAAUAAUCUGUUGUAUUUUUUAAAAUAAGGUUUUACAGAAAAUGAGACUUUCUUGUUUCAGCUCUUUGGUUGAAUUCUUCAGAUUAUCAGGGUUAAAACACCUUCACUCACAAGGCAAGGGAAAACCUCCACAUUUUUCUCUUCAUUUACAGAAAAUAUCUCCAGUGAUAACAUUCACCAGCAGUUUUCAAGUUACCUGU